rnacentral:rRNA from 1 species
AGUUUGAUCCUGGCUCAGAACGAACGCUGGCGGCGCGUCUUAAGCAUGCAAGUCGAGCGGCAAGCGCCAGCAAUGGCGCCUAGAGCGGCGGACUGGUGAGUAACGCGUGGGUGAUCUGCCUUGAGGUUGGGGAUAGUCGUUAGAAAUAGCGGGUAAUACCGGAUACGUUGGCCAUGCUGCGGCAUGGCUAAGAAAGGGGCUUUGGCCCCGCCUUAAGAUGAGCCCGCGUCCCAUUAGGUAGUUGGGGGGGUAACGGCCCACCAAGCCCGAGAUGGGUAGCCGGCCUGAGAGGGUGAACGGCCACACUGGGACUGAGAUACGGCCCAGACUCCUACGGGAGGCAGCAGCUAAGAAUAUUCCGCAAUGGGGGAAACCCUGACGGAGCGACGCCGCGUGGAUGAGGAAGGCCGAAAGGUUGUAAAAUUCUUUUGCGGAUGAAGAAUAAGUAGCGGAGGGAAUGCCGUUAUGAUGACGUUAGUCCGUGAAUAAGCCCCGGCUAAUUACGUGCCAGCAGCCGCGGUAACACGUAAGGGGCGAGCGUUGUUCGGAAUUAUUGGGCGUAAAGGGCGCGUAGGCGGCCGUGUAAGUCUGGCGUGAAAACCUGGGGCUUAACCCCAGGCCUGCGCUGGAAACUGUGCGGCUUGAGUCAUGGAGGGGGAGUUGGAAUUCCUGGUGUAGGGGUGAAAUCUGUAGAUAUCAGGAAGAACACCGGUGGCGAAGGCGAACUUCUAGCCGAUGACUGACGCUGAGGCGCGAAAGUGCGGGGAGCAAACAGGAUUAGAUACCCUGGUAGUCCGCACUAUAAACGAUGCACACUAGGUGUUGGACCGAGCGGUUCAGUGCCGGAGCGAACGCGAUAAGUGUGCCGCCUGGGGAGUAUGCCCGCAAGGGUGAAACUCAAAGGAAUUGACGG